UACGUAGGGGGCUAGCGUUGUCCGGAUUUAUUGGGCGUAAAGAGCGUGUAGGCGGCCAGGUAGGUCUGCUGUGAAAACUCGAGGCUCAACCUCGAGACGUCGGCGGAAACCAUCUGGCUAGAGUCCGGAAGAGGAGAGUGGAAUUCCUGGUGUAGCGGUGAAAUGCGCAGAUAUCAGGAGGAACACCAGCGGCGAAGGCGGCGCUCUGGGCUGGAACUGACGCUAAGGAGCGAAAGCGUGGGGAGCGAACAGG
rnacentral:rRNA from 1 species